rnacentral:misc_RNA from 1 species
AAGGAUCAUUACUGCUUGCUCACGGCGCCGUUUUGGGAAACCGAGCGGCGUCGGGCAUGCCACCCUUGUCUAUAUAUACCUGUUUGUUAUUCCCUUGGCAGGGCGACCUGCCAGUGGGAGCCUAAAACCCUUUUGCAUAUAGUAUCCAAACCUCUGAAAAACAUACAAUAAUUAUAACUUUCAACAAUGGAUCUCUUGGUUCUG